rnacentral:rRNA from 1 species
CAGCCGCGGUAAUACGUAGGGUGCGAGCGUUGUCCGGAUUUAUUGGGCGUAAAGGGCUCGUAGGUGGUUGAUCGCGUCGGAAGUGUAAUCUUGGGGCUUAACCCUGAGCGUGCUUUCGAUACGGGUUGACUUGAGGAAGGUAGGGGAGAAUGGAAUUCCUGGUGGAGCGGUGGAAUGCGCAGAUAUCAGGAGGAACACCAGUGGCGAAGGCGGUUCUCUGGGCCUUUCCUGACGCUGAGGAGCGAAAGCGUGGGGAGCGAACAGGCUUAGAUACCCUGGUAGUCCACGCUGUAAACGGUGGGUACUAGGUGUGGGGUCCAUUCCACGGGUUCCGUGCCGUAGCUAACGCUUUAAGUACCCCGCCUGGGGAGUACGGCCGCAAGGCUAAAACUCAAAGGAAUUGACGGGGCCCCGCACAAGCGGCGGAGCAUGCGGAUUAAUUCGAUGCAACGCGUAGAACCUUACCUGGGUUUGACAUGGAUCGGGAGUGCUCAGAGAUGGGUGUGCCUCUUUUGGGGUCGGUUCACAGGUGGUGCAUGGCUGUCGUCAGCUCGUGUCGUGAGGUGUUGGGUUAAGUCCCGCAACGAGCGCAACCCUUGUUCACUGUUGCCAGCACGUUAUGGUGGGGACUCAGUGGAGACCGCCGGGGUCAACUCGGAGGAAGGUGGGGAUGACGUCAAGUCAUCAUGCCCCUUAUGUCCAGGGCUUCACGCAUGCUACAAUGGCUGGUACAGAGAGUGGCGAGCCUGUGAGGGUGAGCGAAUCUCGGAAAGCCGGUCUCAGUUCGGAUUGGGGUCUGCAACUCGACCUCAUGAAGUCGGAGUCGCUAGUAAUCGCAGAUCAGCAACGCUGCGGUGAAUACGUUCCCGGGGCUUGUACACACCGCCCGU